GACGAACGCUGGCGGCGUGCCUAAUACAUGCAAGUUGAGCGAUGAAGAUUGGUGCUUGCACCAAUUUGAAGAGCAGCGAACGGGUGAGUAACGCGUGGGGAAUCUGCCUUUGAGCGGGGGACAACAUUUGGAAACGAAUGCUAAUACCGCAUAACAACUUUAAACAUAAGUUUUAAGUUUGAAAGAUGCAAUUGCAUCACUCAAAGAUGAUCCCGCGUUGUAUUAGCUAGUUGGUGAGGUAAAGGCUCACCAAGGCGAUGAUACAUAGCCGACCUGAGAGGGUGAUCGGCCACAUUGGGACUGAGACACGGCCCAAACUCCUACGGGGGGCAGCAGUAGGGAAUCUUCGGCAAGGGACGAAAGUCUGACCGAGCAACGCCGCGUGAGUGAAGAAGGUUGUCGGAUCGUAAAACUCUGUUGGUAGAGAAGAACGUUGGUGAGAGUGGAAAGCUCAUCAAGUGACGGUAACUACCCAGAAAGGGACGGCUAACUACGUG
rnacentral:rRNA from 1 species